rnacentral:rRNA from 1 species
UACGUAGGGUGCGAGCGUUGUCCGGAAUUAUUGGGCGUAAAGGGCUCGUAGGCGGUCUGUCACGUCGGGAGUGAAAACACGGGGCUUAACCCCGUGCCUGCUUCCGAUACGGGCAGACUAGAGGUAGGUAGGGGAGAAUGGAAUUCCUGGUGUAGCGGUGAAAUGCGCAGAUAUCAGGAGGAACACCAAUGGCGAAGGCAGCUCGCUGGGACGGUACUGACGCUGAGGUUCGAAAGCUCGGGGAGCAAACAGG